UACGUAGGGUGCGAGCGUUGUCCGGAAUUAUUGGGCGUAAAGAGCUUGUAGGCGGUCUGUCGCGUCUGCUGUGAAAAUCCGGGGCUCAACCCCGGACUUGCAGUGGGUACGGGCAGACUAGAGUGUGGUAGGGGAGACUGGAAUUCCCGGUGUAGCGGUGAAAUGCGCAGAUAUCAGGAGGAACACCGGUGGCGAAGGCGGAUCUCUGGGCCUUACCUGACGCUGAGGCGCGAAAGCGUGGGGAGCGAACAGG
rnacentral:rRNA from 1 species